rnacentral:lncRNA from 8 species
AGUGUUAUUAUUUGGUGCGGGAUAGUUCCGGUGACGGUAUUGGCUCGCCCAUAACUAUGCCACUCCCUUCUCCAAAUAGAGUAUAGAGUUCGUUGUGGCGCUGUUCAAUAACCUUCAUGUCGGGUUUAGGGGACAGCUCUGAUCUAGGCAAACUUGUGGCUACUUAUAAAGACUCAAACAUCGGUAUUUGUACCCUAGUGAUUCGCGGACCGGAUAACUAUCGGUUACUGUGCGGGACACUGGCGAUUCAGAGAGGAACCAAGAUAUCAAGUAAGGAAAACUAUUAAUUCUUUCUCACUUCGACAUUUUUUUUUUUGUGAAAUAUAGCCUAGACUACUAUCCGCUACUCUCAAGAUCACCACAACAUGCUAUGAAUAUUUGUGGUCCAGGUGUGAGAACGCAAGCGGAUCCUCAUCUUGAUCUCUCUUGAAGUCUCUCAACUGGGCAGAAAGGCUACUGCAGAUUUGUUUCUGCUUAUCUAUAAAGUGUUUAAACAAAUGCCUUUGUUUGAGUCUUCUCAUUUAUCCAGGCUGUUUGCCUAUAGCCUAUAUAUGCAUAGGCCUACAUUUAUUUUUGGUUAAAGAUUGUAAGUAAAACAAACUCUUAUAGCCAUUUGCAAUUUCAAGUUUGAAGUUUUAUUAGUCGUAUGUACGGGAUACACAUGGUAUACACGUCCACGAAUUGUUUACUUGCAUGUUCAUUCUCGACAAUGCAACAAUAAUAAGAAAUAAGAAAACAUAAGUAUAAUACAGGAAUGCACAAUUUAUAGUCCUAUAUUCAAAUCAAAUGUAUUGGUCAUAUGAGAUGGGUGAUACAAUAUAUAAACACAAUUUAAAAGUGACUAAGAUAACAUAGAAUAUUGUGGAGUGCAGUUUAUACAUAUGCAUGAGUAAUGCUAGAUAUGGAAACAUGAUUAAAGUGGCUAGUGAUCCAUUUCUAAAAGUGGCUAGUGAGUCCUAAUCUAUGUCUAUAGGCAUCUCCUAUAGCCUCUGAUGCGCUAGUGAUGACUGUUUAGCAGUCUGAUGGCCUUGAGAUAGAAGCUGUUUUCCAGUCUCUCGGUCCCAGCUUUGAUGCACCUGUACUGACCUCGCCUUCUGGAUGAUAGCGGGAUGAACAGGCAGGUGCUCUGGUGGUUGAUGUCCUUGAUGAUCUUUUUGGCUUUCCUAUGGCAUCGGGUGCUGUAGGUGUCCAUGAGGGCAGGAAUUUUGCCCCCGGUAAUGCAUUGGGCAGACUGCACCACCCUCGGUAGAGCUUUGCGGUUUUGGGAGGUGCAGUUGCCGUACCAGGUGGUGAUACAGCCUGACAGGAUGCUCUCAAUUG